rnacentral:rRNA from 1 species
CAGCCGUAAACUAUGCUCGCUAGGUGUCAGGCAUGGCGCGACCGUGUCUGGUGCCGCAGGGAAGCCGUGAAGCGAGCCACCUGGGAAGUACGGCCGCAAGGCUGAACUUAAAGGAAUUGGCGGGGGAGCACAACAACGGGUGGAGCCUGCGGUUUAAUUGGACUCAACGCCGGACAACUCACCGGGAACGACAGCAAUAUGUAGGCCAGGCUGAAGACUCUGCAUGACUAGCUGAGAGGAGGUGCAUGGCGUAGACGUCU